rnacentral:lncRNA from 1 species
AGGGCUUGUCAUUUCAGUGGGGUGGGAGAUCUACUGAAUGCCAGCCACGUGGAGUUUUAUUCCUUCAUGCUGUUUGUGAUAAACUUCAGGGGACAUAUUUAACAUGGAACAAAAAAUGAAAUUUCUGGGCCCACCCCAGCAGGAGGAUAAUAUCACCACUCUCACAGCAGCACCGGGCUUUAAGACACUGCCAAACAGUCCAGGCACAGAAGGAAUGGUCUCCUCUGAGUGACUGGAAGACCGAAGACAGAACUGUUCACCUUCCAGCAGGGCAG